GAAACCAACAGGGAUUGCCUCAGUAACGGCGAGUGAAGCGGCAAAAGCUCAAAUUUGAAACCCUCGGGAUUGUAAUUUGAAGAUUUGGCAUUGGAGAAAGCUAACCCAAGUUGCUUGGAAUAGUACGUCAUAGAGGGUGACAACCCCGUCUGGCUAACCGUUCUCCAUGUAUUGCCUUAUCAAAGAGUCGAGUUGUUUGGGAAUGCAGCUCAAAGUGGGUGGUAAACUCCAUCUAAAGCUAAAUACUGGUGAGAGACCGAUAGCGAACAAGUACUGUGAAGGAAAGGUGAAAAGAACUUUGAAAAGAGAGUGAAAUAGUAUGUGAAAUUGUUGAUAGGGAAGGAAAUGAGUGGAGAGUGGCCGAGGUUUCAGCCGCCCCUCGUGGGCGGUGUACUGCCGACGCCGAGUCAUCGAUAGCGAGACGAGGGUUACAAAUGGGAGCGCCUUCGGGCGUUCUCCCCUAACCCUCCACACUGCCNCCGACGA
rnacentral:rRNA from 1 species